rnacentral:rRNA from 1 species
UACGUAGGAUGCAAGCGUUGUCCGGAAUUAUUGGGCGUAAAGAGCGGGCAGGCGGUUUGGAAAGUUGGACGUGAAAUUUUAGGGCUUAACCCUAAAGGGUCGUCCAAAACUCCCAGACUAGAGUGCAGGAGAGGAAAGCGGAAUUCCCGGUGUAGUGGUGAAAUGCGUAGAUAUCGGGAGGAACACCAGAGGCGAAGGCGGCUUUCUGGCCUGUAACUGACGCUGAGGCGCGAAGGCUGGGGUAGCGAACAGG